rnacentral:rRNA from 1 species
UACGUAGGGUGCAAGCGUUGUCCGGAAUUAUUGGGCGUAAAGAGCUCGUAGGCGGUUUGUCGCGUCUGCUGUGAAAACCCGAGGCUCAACCUCGGGCCUGCAGUGGGUACGGGCAGACUAGAGUGCGGUAGGGGAGAUUGGAAUUCCUGGUGUAGCGGUGGAAUGCGCAGAUAUCAGGAGGAACACCAAUGGCGAAGGCAGAUCUCUGGGCCGUAACUGACGCUGAGGAGCGAAAGCAUGGGGAGCAAACAGG